rnacentral:rRNA from 1 species
UACGUAGGGUGCGAGCGUUGCCCGGAUUUAUUGGGCGUAAAGGGCGCGUAGGCGGCCACGCACGUCCGUUGUGAAAUCGCCCGGCUCAACUGGGCGGGGUCGGCGGAUACGGCGUGGCUGGAGCAAGCUAGGGGGCAAUGGAAUUCCCGGUGUAGUGGUGGAAUGCGUAGAUAUCGGGAGGAACACCAGUGGCGAAGGCGGUUGCCUGGAGCUUUGCUGGACGCUGAGGCGGCGAAAGCGUGGGGAGCGAUCCGG